rnacentral:lncRNA from 1 species
CUCUCUAACAUACGUACAAGUCGAGAAAUGAGUCAUGAACGUGAUCGACGAAUUUGAAUUAGUGCAUUUUAAUAGUUGGGUAUCUCCAGGACCACCGUCUACGCCGUAGACAAGGGUGAAACUUUGGGGAGGAGGAUGGGCUCUGUCAAAAAGUCCAACCUGGACACGGAGGAUUUGAAGAAAAAAGCCCAUGCAAAUACUCUCAAAUCCAUAAGAGUCCAUGCAAAAAAUCACAGGGUUUCACACUAGACUGGUAGAAAGCUAUCAAAAAAGUGGGUGGAAAGAGGCUUGUGGGAGUGGAGAAGUCACUUAUGACACCAGCAAUGAUAAAAACCCUUCUCCUCCGUCGCGAGACUCUUUUGAACUCUAUUUUGACAGCCUUGAUGCCAAUCCCUCGACUACACCUUUUGGCUGCAUGUUGAGGGGAAGACAUGCAGUGUGCGUCAUCCAAACAUUGAGGCUCUCAAAGUUACUGGGACAACAUGACAGAUUACUACAUUUGCAGUGGGUUCCAGGGGUUCCGCCACCACCUGGAAGUCACUAUUGCAGCGAAGGGGGCUACAUUAAUGAUUAAGAGAGCUCGGACAUGCAUCUAUUUAGGAUUAAAAUUCAAAGUAGUCAGAUUUUAAUGGACCACUCGGUAUUUGGGGAGUUUAUUUGGUCCUCUUCUAAAUAUUAAAGGGGUCUCCGAAUUGGAAAAUUGGAAUAAACUUUAUUUAAUGACAUCUUCAAAAAUAACAACCAAAGACAUGAUUAUAAAUCUAAUUUGACUGAGUUGUGUGUAUGGAAAGACUAAUGAAGAACAAAUUUGCCUCUUUUGUAAUCUAUCAAGGGAAACGGUGAGGCAUUUUUUCAUUUGAAUUUGUGAACACUGGGAAUAAAGAAAACGUAUGGGAUCACUUAAGUUUUGUCAUUAGGAAAGAAAGAAAACCUGCCUUUUAAAAAAUAAUGGAAGAAGGUGUUUACUCUACAUAAAGACCCCACCUUAAAAAAAUUAACUACUACUACACAAUCAAUAUGAAGAGGACAUCUCAUCGUUUUGGUUUAGGAGGGUCAAACACAAUAUGAAUGUACGUACGUAUUUGAAGAUCAUUAAUAUGAAGUAUGAAGGGGAUAUAUCUACAUAAUACAAAAUAUAAUGUAGAUAAGAGAUUCCACUAGAAAUCCGUUAAGAAAAAUAGAACCAACACUCCCAAUCGUUGUUGUCUUAUGGUUUAAUGAAAAUACAUAUUGAUUAGUGUAUCAAGAACGUUGACACGCUAAAGGAGUGUACACUUUAUUAGGGCUGUUUGAUUUACCGUUACUCUAGUGGGCUCUGACGCGUUUUAAAUGGUGCCCUACUAAAUUGGUAAAACAUCACUACGUCAUCAAAACAUAGAUCACUCAAAUUUCUUAACCUUCACCUCAUUAGAACUAUUGUGUCCAGUACAGUCUUAUGGUUCCUUGGGACACGCUCUUAACUGUCGGUACUUG